GAAUGAAACAGAGACUCCCAUCAGUGAAACUUCUCCAGUCACUGAGUCUGAAAAAGAAACUAGUGAAACCUCUCCAAACCCUGACACUUCAGAAAUAGACGAAGGCACUUCAAAGAAAAC